ACGGUCCUAGGGCUCAGGUCCUCCGAGAGAGAGAAAGAAAGAGAGAAUUAGAGAGAGCAUAUGUGGGGUGGCCCGUCCUCUUCUGGCUGUGCCGGGUGGAGAUUAUAACAUAACAUGGCCAAGAUGUUCAAAUGUUCAUAAAUGACCAGCAUGGUCGAAUAAUAGUAAGGCAGAACAGUUGAAACUGGAGCAGCAGCAUGGCCAGGUGGACUGGGGACAGCAAGGAGUCAUCAUGUCAGGUAGUCCUGGGGCAUGGUCCUAGGGCUCAGGUCAGUUGAAACUGGAGCAGCAGCAUGGCCAGGUGGACUGGGGACAGCAAGGAGUCAUCAUGUCAGGUAGUCCUGGGGCAUGGUCCUAGGGCUCAGGUCCUCCGAGAGAGAGAGAAAGAAAGAAGGAGAGAAUUAGAGAACGCAC